AUGCUCCUUGCUCUUGUUCAUGUUGUCCAAAUGCUCAAUGUCGAUACUGAACAUGGCAUCGACGAACCACCAACUGGUGAUCUCCUCGAGCUCGGUCGUGACAAGCUCGUUCUCCUGGAGGAUCUCCGUCCACACCGCCUCCUUCCCGGCCAUGGCGUCAGCGAGGGAGAACCGGCUGUCCUCCCCCUCGUACCCUGCCCACUCCACCCCGAAGCGCUCAGCCAGCAUCGGCCAGAGCUGCUUCCACUUGAACACAUCCCCAUUGCUGCAAUUGAAAGCCUCGUUCUUGGCGAACGGGUCGACGGCCGCCCAGAUCUCGUGCUCGGCGACGAGGUCGGCGUCCGAGGCGUCGGUGAAGCCCUCCCAUGCGACCUUGCAGCCGGGCCACCGCAGCGUGGUACCCUCCUUGCGGCAGAUGGCGGCGUAGACACACAGGCUGCCCAUGACGUUCAUGGCGCUGCGGGGGGAGAAGCCGAAGAUGACGGUGGGGCGGUGCACGGACCAGGUGACGGCGCCGUCGCGGCCGGAGACGUGGUGGAAGAGCACGUCCUCCAGGUCGUAGUAGAAGUUGGGGUGGUCGAGCCGGGGCGUGUCCUCGGUGUAGGGCGGGUCGGGGGCGGGGAUCUUGCCGAUGGCCUCGAACGGCCCCACAUAGUGCUUGCGGCCGGUCUGGAGGCAGACGUGGGCGAGCGCGGGGCAGCCGGGCACGACGACGGAGAGCACGUUGCGGAGCAUGCCGGCGUUGACCUCCCGGUUGCGGUCCUCGGUCUCGUGGCUGGACCACGCGGCGUAGAAGACGUGGGUGACGUCGGUGAGCGGCGCCAGGGCGUCCCUGACGGCGGCGGCGUCGGCGAGGUCGAGCUGCAGGUGCGUGACGGCGGGGGACGGCGGCGGCGUCGACCAGCCCGGCGGCGCGCGGCGCGAGACGGCGUACACCUUCCAGGGCCCGCCCGGGGUGUCGUCGCGCGGGAGGAUGUCGAGGAGGGAGGUGCCGACGAUCCCCGUGGAGCCGAGGAUGAGCGCCACGCUCUGGAAGGUGGGCUCCGCCGCCGCCGCCCGCUCGUCCUGCCGCUUCUUGACCGCGCCCACCGCGCCCGCCCACCACCAGCUCAUCGCGGGUCUGGGGAGAGGGGGGCUCGGUCGGGCGGGGUGUGGUGCUGGGGGGCGGAGAGCGGAGGUGGCCGGCGGUGGCGUGGAGAUCGGGCGGUGGGGGGAGCGCCGGCUGGAUCUGGGGAUAAUGGGGGGAGAGUGGAGUUGUUGGGGUGCCUGCCUGCCUGCUUCCGUGUGCGUUGCGUGGCGAUCUGGGGCUGUCGUUUGGCUUGUUUGUUGUCAACGAGCGCUGGACGGUGGGGAACGAUCGGCAAGGAGGAGAUCGUUGUCGAGUGUCGUGGCCCGGUGGACGGUCGAGGAGCCGCGCGUCGUCGCCUUGGUCUGUAG
rnacentral:rRNA from 1 species